rnacentral:rRNA from 1 species
GAUGAACGCUAGCGGCAGGCCUAAUACAUGCAAGUCGAGGGAGAAUGUUGGAUUCGUCUGACAUGAAACCGGCGCACGGGUGCGUAACACGUAUGCAACCUACCUUUAACUGGGGUAUAGCUCAGAGAAAUCUGAAUUAAUCCCCCAUAAGACUACGACAUGGCAUCAUGAUGUAGUUAAAGCUCCGGCGGGUAAGGAUGGGCAUGCGGUACAUUAGCUAGUUGGUGAGGUAAUGGCUCACCAAGGCUACGAUGUAUAGGGGGUCUGAGAGGGUGAUCCCCCACACUGGUACUGAGACACGGACCAGACUCCUACGGGAGGCAGCAGUAGGGAAUAUUGGUCAAUGGACGCAAGUCUGAACCAGCCAUGCCGCGUGAAGGAUGAAGGCCCUAUGGGUCGUAAACUUCUUUUAUUAGGGAAGAAAAAACGGGAUGCGUCCUGUACUGACGGUACUUAAUGAGUAAGGAUCGGCUAACUUCGUGCCAGCAGCCGCCGUAA